rnacentral:lncRNA from 1 species
UUUUCCUUCUAUUUUUUUGUUUCUGUUUUUUUUUAACUUUUGCAGGGGUGAAGUGUGGGAACACUCAACUGAAUAUGGGUCAUGUGCCAGUUUUCUGCAAUGGAAUUGGAUUUUGGAAGAAGGUCUGGGAUUUUUUUAGUCUUCGUGAGAGGGGAGCUGGGAGACACCAAGUUCCGUCCAAUCAGUCAUAUGGACAAAAAA